rnacentral:rRNA from 1 species
UGCCAGCAGCCGCGGUAAUACGAAGGUGGCAAGCGUUGCUCGGAAUUACUGGGCAUAAAGCGCGCGUAGGUGGCGUGUUAAGCGGGAAAUGAAAGCCCAUGGCUCACCCAUGGAAUUGUUUUCCGAACUGGCAUGCUUGAGGACGGGAGGGGAAGGUGGAAUUCCUGGUGUAGCGGUGAAAUGCGUAGAUAUCAGGAGGAACACCGGUGGCGAAAGCGACCUUCUGGCCCGUUCCUGACACUGAGGCGCGAAAGCUAGGGGAGCAAGCAGGAUUAGAUA